UCCGAGUUGACCCCGGCAGUCUCCUAUGAGUCCCCACCACCCCGAAAGGCGUGCUGGCAACAUAGGACGAGGGUUGCGCUCGUUGCGGGACUUAACCCAACAUCUCACGACACGAGCUGACGACAGCCAUGCACCACCUGUACACCGACAAUAAAGGGCACCUAUCUCUAGAUGUUUCCGGUAUAUGUCAAACCCAGGUAAGGUUCUUCGCGUUGUAUCGAAUUAAACCACAUGCUCCACCGCUUGUGCAGGCCCCCGUCAAUUCCUUUGAGUUUUAGCCUUGCGGCCGUACUCCCCAGGCGGGGCACUUAAUGCGUUAGCUUCGGCACGGAGAGAGUGGAUAGCUUCCCACACCUAGUGCCCAUCGUUUACGGCUAGGACUAC
rnacentral:misc_RNA from 1 species